rnacentral:lncRNA from 1 species
AUACCAGCAUUUUUAGCAACAUGGAUGAACCUAGAAAUAACCUUGCUAAGUGAAGUCAGCCAUACAAUGAGGCACCAACAUCAAAUGCUUUCACUGACAUGUGGAAUCUGAAAAAAGGACAGACGGAACUUCUUUGCAGAACAGAUGCUGACUCACAGACAUUGAAAAACUUGUGGUCUCCGGAGGAGACAGUUUAGGGGGUGGGGGGGAUGUGCUUGGGUUGUGGGAUGGAAAUCCUGUGAAAUUGGAUUGUGAUGAUCAUUAUACAACUACAAAUGUGAUAAAUUCAUUUUAGUAAUAAAAAAAAAGAAAUGGAAAAAAAAAAAAAGAACAACCAUAUGACACAGCAAUCCCACUCCUGGGCAUAUAUCCAGAAAAAACAUUCAUUCAAAAAGAAAAAUGCACCCCUAUGUUCAUUGCCGUAAUAUUCACAGUAUCCAAGACAUGGAAAUGACCUAAAUCUCCUCAACAGAUGAAUGGAUUAAAAAUGGAUUAUAUGUGGUACAUAUAAAUGAUGGAAUAAUACUCAGCCAUAAAAAGUGCCAUUUGUAGCUACAGGGAUGGAACUAAAGAUUCUUAUACUAAGUGAAGCAAGUCGGAAAGAGAAAGACAAAUACCAUAUGUUAUCACUUCUAAGUGGAAUCUAAAAUAUGGCACAAAUGAAACUCUAUAAAACAGAAAGAGACUCACAGACAUAGAGAUUUGACUUGUGGCUGCCAAGGGGAAGCGGGAAAUGUGGGGGAUAGACUUGGAAUUUGGGGUUAGUAGAUGCAAAUUAUUACAUUUAAAACAGAUAAGCAAUGAGGUCCAACUAUACACCAUAGGGAACUAUAUACAGUCGCUUCUCUUAGGAUAGAACAUGGUGUAAUAAGAUAUGCGAAAAACGAUGUGUGUGUGUGUAUGUGUGUGUGUGUGAGAGAGAGAGAGAGACUGGGUCAUUAUGCUGUAGAGCAGAAACUGAUUCAACAUGUAUAUCAACUAUACCCUAAUAAAUAAAUUUAAGUAAAAAUAAAUAAACAGGCAUUUUUUACAUAUUAAAAGUGAUACUGGAGUUCCCAUUGUGGUGUGGCAGAAAUGAAUCCAACUAGGAAUCAUGAGGUUGCAGGUUCAAUCCCUAGCCUCAAUCAUGGGUUAAGGAUCUGGUGUUGCUGUGAGCUGUGGUGUAGGCUGCAGACGCGGCUCAGAUCCUGCGUUGCUGUGGCUCUGGCAUAGGCUGGUGGCUAUGGCUCUGAUUAGACCCCUAGCCUGGGAACCUCCAUAUGCCACGGGAGUGGCCCAAGAAAUGGCAAAAAGCCAAAAAAAAAAAAAAAAGAAAUCAAUAUACAUUAUAAGUUUAUUAUACACCAGUNACACGGGAUCCGAGCCACAUCUGCAGCCUACACCGCAGCUCACGGCAAUGUCAGAUCUUUAACCCACUGAGCAAGGGCAGGGAUCGAACCCGCAACCUCAUGCUUCCUAGUUGGAUUAAUCACUGCGCCACGAUGGGAACUCCACCAAUAAAAUUUUAAAAAUAAAAAAUUAAAACACACUAGAGGGAGAGCAUACACAAUGACAUAAAAUAAAUGAUUAUUGGUUUCAAAUCUAUUAUUCUUUUUAAAUCUUUAUCAUUUCUGUUGAGCUCUGUUUUAGAAAUUGAACACUGCUGAAGAGUUCUUACUACUUUGGUUCUUGGGAUCUAUAGAGAAUACCAAGUAGUGAUAACAAAGAUCCUUAUCUGCAGUACGAGUGUGGAGUAUCACACCAUCGGAACCCAGCUUGACUACUGAACAUUCCACUGACUAAAUGCAGUAUCUGGAUCAAAUGCAGGGGAGAGUUCGUGUGUCAAAACCAACAACAAUGGAGUUCCCACUGUGGUGCAGUGGAAACUAAUCCAACUAGUAUCCAUGAGGAUGUGGUUUUGAUCCCUGACCUCGUUCAGUGGGUCAGGGACCUGGCGUUGCCAUAAGCUGUAGUGUCGGUCAGAAACACAGCUUGGAUCCCACAUUUCUGUGGAUAUGGCAUAGGCUGGCAGCUGUAGCUCCGACUCAACCCCUAGGCUGAACCUGGGAAAUUCCAUGUGCCACAGGUGCAGCCCUAUAAAGGAAAAAAAAAAAAAACUACAAGCAGAGAGAAACUAAAAAGAAAUGGUCAUUCUAUGGAUUUUAUAUUUUCAUGUAUAUAUUGCAUGUAUUUGACUGGUUGACCUUAUACUUGGCAGUGUAAUUUCUGAGCAUAUUAAUUAAAUACGCCUUUUUUUGCUGUGAUAUUAAAGAAAGAAAUGGAGCAUCCACAUUGAUUGGGAUGGUUUAAGCACAUCCCACACUAUUUCCAUAACCCUUAUUAAAGAUAAAAAGAAAAAAAUGAAUUUACUGGUGCUGGAAUCUCAAAGCAAACACCCGAACUAGUAAAGCUCAGAAUAAUAGGAUAAAUGGAUAGCAGGGUGAGUGAAGCACACAGAAAGACACACUGUCACUGCAUUGUUAAUUUGGCAAAAAUAACAAAAUUAUAGCCUGAAGUUACCAUGUAAAAAGUGUCAGUUUUAUGCAAAUUUUAAUCCACAUACACCUCCCAUAUCACAUACUCCUAAUAGGUCAUGUAAAUAGUAAGUUUUUCUCAACAAUAUAGAAAACAGUCUCUCAUACUUCUUUUUCAGAAAUUUGUAAGGGACUCAAGACUACUAAAGGCAUCCUGCUUAUAUGUGAAUUUUCUUAAUCCUGCUCCAAAUAAAAUAGGUUGCAUUUGGAUAUAAAGUAAUAACUACAUUUUCACCUACUUCACUAAAAUCCCAACGCUGAGUCCCAUCUCAGGGGAAAACUUGGAAACCAAUGUCUUCCUGUACUGAUGUCUUAUCAAGGAAAUAUUUUUCAUACUUGAAUGUUAUUAAUUAAUGGUGAUAAUUUUUCAUACACCAUAGGGAGCACGGAUGCAGACAGUGGAGAAAAGUCUUGGAGAGGAGAAAGAGUAUUUUGAAGAGCUGGUCAUGAGUAUCAUUAGAAUAAAAGAAAAAAUAAACAGUUGAAAACAACUGCACUAGGUUAAGAAUAUCAGGAAUAGAAAGCUAAAGAUUUAUGUUCUCCAUGGCAUUUCAGGAGGAAAAGCAGACACAGCCUCAAACCCUGGACUGGACAUUUACUUGAGAAGCUGCCAUCUCUUCCUUUUCUGGGUCAUUCCCUCAAUACUGUAUUGAGGAAUCCAUUCAACAUCUUGAGAAUAUAGCUUCAAAGGGGUCAGCACAGCUCCUUAAACCGCCCCCACCACACCCAUGAGCCAAACUUUCAAAGCUGACCUUGAAAUCCUAAAAAGACCACUUCUCCUGUGAUUUUUUCUCAGGGAAGAUUCAGGCACAAGGAGCUCCUGCCUGGAGACCAACCUGAGUGUGUUCUUUGUGGUCUACAUGUGAUCUCUCCUCACACAGAAGUCCCAGAAUUCUGCCUACAUGUGGUAGGUGAGCUGUGCUGAUCUUCCCCUUCCAAAUCCAUGUACAGCAGACCCUAAUGCUUCUCCUUGCCCUGAAGUCUGCCCUCAGUCCUCACAAAUGAACCCAGGAGAUCAUGUGAUGAAACUGGCCUCCUUUUAGAAUCACAUGAGGCUCUUAAUUAAAACAACUCUGGACGGAUCAAUUGGUGGAGAAGGAUGAAUCAAGAUGGCAGAGAGGUAAGACGUUGCACUCACCUUUUCCCACAAAGACAUCAAAAAAAAAAAAAAAACCCCCAUCUACAUGAAGAAUGAUUUGCAUAGAACAUCUACUGAAUGCUGGCAGAAGAAUUUAUACCUCCAAAAAGGGUAAGAAACCCUCUACAUAAAUGGGUAGAACAAAAGAAAAAAAAAGAGAGAAAGAAAAGGAAUCAGGACAAGACCAGCAGUCCUGAAGGAAGCUGUUAAAGAGAAAAAGAACCCACAACCUGGGAAGUCAUCUAACCAAUGGGGAGAUCAGCCAAGGUGCAGGGACCUCACCGAGAAAAUCACAGCAGCUGGACUGAGAAGGGCAAAGCAAAGUGAGAGCAGCAUAAAUCAUCUGUACCACCAUCCCAGACGCCACUGCCUAAGGUGUUCAGGCAGGGGAUGGGUGCUGGGAUUCAGGAUGCAGAGGUCAGUUCUGGGGAGAGGACUAGGUUUGGCUGUGUGGAGACGACCUGAGGGGCUAGGGAGCAGUGUGCCAUGGGCUGGGGAGCAGUACACCAUAGCCAAGGGAACCCAGGAGGAGGUCUGGGCCUUUAGGAGAAGCAAGGUGCCAUUGUUGAGGAGGGCAAAAGGAGGAGGGGUGCACCACCAUAGGAAUGUCUUUCCCUGCACAUGCCUGGGCUCUCAGAGGGCUGUGUGCCUCUGGCACAGGCUACGGGUGAUGAGAGAACACUUGCUCGGGCUACAGGAGACCUGGCACCUCUUGUGCUGGCUAUGGGUGUCAGGGCACCUCUGUGUGGGCUAAGAGCAUCAGGGGUUAAGCCCAAUGUGCUUCCUCUUGCAUGAUCUACAGGUGGUGAGGACAACCCACAGCAGUCAUCUCUGAAACCAGAGGGAGGAGUUGUCUGCCACCACUAGGGGUUUGUUAACAGGCUUCACCUGUGGCACCAGCCACCUCAGAGCUCAGCAAAGAUGAGGGCAGUGCAACUGAGCACAGCCCUGUGUUGCUCUCACUCCCUUGGGAACACAGCCACCCUGCUGCUGUUGCUACCAAACACUCCAGGCAGCACCCACACAUGCCUCAUCGCUGUCGCUUCCCAGGACCCUGCAACCAGGAGCAGCCUGUGUAGCACCUCCUGUGUGGGCUAAGCCUCCUGUGUGGGCUGCUUCUUGAAAGGCCUAAAGAUGGUGGGAGAAAAUCACCACAGUUAUCUCUGACUCCAGAGGUGGACGUGGUCUGUCACCACUAGAGGCUCGUGACCAGGCAUCACAUGCAGCCACAAUCACCUCAGAGGGCAACAUGGAGGAGGGCAUUGGGACCAAAAAUAAACCGUGUGGCUCUCACUACCUGGGAACACACACACCUUGCCACUGCCACUGCCAAAGGCUCUGGGUACCAUCCAAAUCUGCCUGAUGUUCAUUGGCAUUCCCAGGGCCCUGCAACUAGGAGCAGCUUUCACCACUUUCUAGUGGGUUUUUGUUACUGUCAAGCACGUAGCAACCAGGCACUGACUACUAGCCUUGUGCAGUGCCUCUGUUUCCCUGGAAACACAAGUAGCACCCUAGCAAGGGGGUAACAGCCUGCUCAAAUGGAGGGAAAAGAGCAAAUAUCCAAAAUCCCAUGCCAAAAAAAAAUAGUAACCCCCACAAAAUACAAAGGGGUGCUUUUGCAUAGAAAAACCCAAGACUAUAGAGGUCUCCCUAAACUCACAGAAAAAUAAAAAUAUAAGCAAAAUAGAGAAGCCCAGGAACCACUGCCAGUUAAAAGACCAGAAGAAUUCAUCUGAAGAAGCAAACAAUGAAACCAAUCUCUGAAGUCAAACAGACACUGAGUUCAAAGGGAGACAAGGAAAAUGGUGAAGGAAUUAAGGGUGAAUAUGAAGGAAUUAAGAGCGGAUAUAGGAGUUCCCAUUGUGGCACAGCAGAAACGAAUCUGACUAGGAACCAUGAGGUUGGGGGUUUGAUCCCUGGCCUCACUUAGUGGGUUAAGGAUCCAGCAUUGCCAUGAGCUGUGGUGUAGGUCACAGAUGCAUCUCGGACCCUGCAUUGCUGUGUCUGUGGCAUAGGCCAGCAGCUACAGCUCCAAUUAGACCCCUAGCCUGGGAACCUCCAUAUGCCAUGGGUGUGGCC